rnacentral:rRNA from 1 species
UACGUAGGGGGCAAGCGUUGUCCGGAAUCCUUGGGCGUAAAGAGCGUGUAGGCGGCCAGAAAAGUCCGCUGUGAAAACUCGAGGCUCAACUUCGAGCUGUCGGUGGAAACUUUCUGGCUAGAGUCCGGAAGAGGAGAAUGGAAUUCCUGGUGUAGCGGUGAAAUGCGCAGAUAUCAGGAAGAACACCCGUGGCGAAGGCGGUUCUCUGGGACGGUACUGACGCUGAGACGCGAAAGCGUGGGGAGCGAACAGG